GCCCCCGUAGCGUAAUGGAUAACGUGCGAGUCUUCGGAACUCGAGUUGAGGGUUCGAGUCCUUCCGGGGGCA
rfam:Parcubacteria bacterium DG_74_3 WOR1_52_54_29209, whole genome shotgun sequence.